rnacentral:tRNA from 1 species
CGGCGUUCAGUAAAGUCCGUAUUCUCACCCUUCACACGGGUGGGGUCGUAGGUUCAAUCCCUACCGCGCCCACCA